UGGAAGUAAAAGUCGUAACAAGGUUUCCGUAGGUGAACCUGCGGAAGGAUCAUUACAGAGUUCAUGCCCGAAAGGGUAGACCUCCCACCCUUGUGUAUUAUUACUUUGUUGCUUUGGCGAGCUGCCUUCGGGCCUUGUAUGCUCGCCAGAGGAUAAUUAAACUCUUUUUAUUAAUGUCGUCUGAGUACUAUAUAAUAGUUAAAACUUUCAACAACGGAUCUCUUGGUUCUGGCAUCGAUAAGAACGCAGCGAAAUGCGAUAAGUAAUGUGAAUUGCAGAAUUCAGUGAAUCAUCGAAUCUUUGAACGCACAUUGCGCCCCUUGGUAUUCCGGGGGGCAUGCCUGUUCGAGCGUCAUUUCAACCCUCAAGCACAGCUUGGUAUUGAGUCUAUGUCAGUAAUGGCAGGCUCUAAAAUCAGUGGCGGCGCCGCUGGGUCCUGAACGUAGUAAUAUCUCUCGUUACAGGUUCUCAGUGUGCUUCUGCCAAAACCCAAAUUUUCUAUGGUUGACCUCGGAUCAGGUAGGGAUACCCGCUGAACUUAAGCAUAUCAAUAAGCGGAGGAAAAGAAAACAACUGGGAUUGCCCCAGUAACGGC
rnacentral:rRNA from 1 species